rnacentral:rRNA from 1 species
ACGAACGCUGGCGGCAUGCCUAACACAUGCAAGUCGAACGAGACCUUCGGGUCUAGUGGCGCACGGGUGCGUAACGCGUGGGAACCUGCCCUUAGGUUCGGAAUAACUCCCCGAAAGGGGUGCUAAUACCGGAUAAUGCCUUCGGACCAAAGAUUUAUCGCCUUUGGAUGGGCCCGCGUUGGAUUAGCUAGUUGGUAGGGUAAAAGCCUACCAAGGCGACGAUCCAUAGCUGGUCUGAGAGGAUGAUCAGCCACACUGGGACUGAGACACGGCCCAGACUCCUACGGGAGGCAGCAGUGGGGAAUAUUGGACAAUGGGCGAAAGCCUGAUCCAGCAAUGCCGCGUGAGUGAUGAAGGCCUUAGGGUUGUAAAGCUCUUUUACCCGGGAUGAUAAUGACAGUACCGGGAGAAUAAGCUCCGGCUAACUCCGUG